rnacentral:rRNA from 1 species
AUGCACGCUGGCGGCGUGCUUAACACAUGCAAGUCGAACGGAAAGGCUCCUGCUUGCAGGGGUACUCGAGUGGCGAACGGGUGAGUAACACGUGGGUGAUCUGCCCUGCACUUCGGGAUAAGCCUGGGAAACUGGGUCUAAUACCGGAUAGGACGAUGGUUUGGAUGCCAUUGUGGAAAGUUUUUCGGUGUGGGAUGAGCUCGCGGCCUAUCAGCUUGUUGGCGGGGUAAUGGCCUACCAAGGCGUCGACGGGUAGCCGGCCUGAGAGGGUGUACGGCCACAUUGGGACUGAGAUACGGCCCAGACUCCUACGGGAGGCAGCAGUGGGGAAUAUUGCACAAUGGGCGCAAGCCUGAUGCAGCGACGCCGCGUGGGGGAUGACGGCCUUCGGGUUGUAAACUCCUUUCGCUAGGGACGAGGCGCAAGUGACGGUACCUGGAGAAGAAGCACCGGCUAACUACGUG